GCGACCUUAGCUCAGCUGGGAGAGCGUGAGACUGAAGAUCUUAAGGCCGUGUGUUCAAUCCACACAGGUCGCA
rfam:Microsporidia sp. TGP3 contig-5, whole genome shotgun sequence.